UUCGCCUGGGUACUACGAGCGUAAGCUUAAAACCCAAAGGACUUGGCGGUGCUUUAGACCCCCCUAGAGGAGCCUGUUCUAGAACCGAUAACCCCCGUUAAACCUCACCCUUUCUUGUCCAUCCCGCCUAUAUACCGCCGUCGUCAGUUUACCCUAUGAAGGUUUAAUAGUAGACAAAGCUGGUAAAGCCCAAAACGCCAGGUCGAGGUGUAGCGUAUGAAAGGGGAAGAAAUGGGCUACAUUUCCUAAACCAGGAAAUCACGAACAGUACAAUGAAACUUGUAAAUUAAGGAGGAUUUAGCAGUAAGAGGAAAUUAGAGCAUUCC
rnacentral:rRNA from 1 species